UGGCGACCGGCGCACGGGUGCGUAACGCGUAUGCAACCUACCUGUAAUUAGGGGAUAACCCGGUGAAAGUCGGACUAAUACCCUAUAUUCUUCUUUAUUCGCAUGGAUAUGGACGGAAAGAUUAAUUGAUUACAGAUGGGCAUGCGUCCCAUUAGCUGGUUGGUAAGGUAACGGCUUACCAAGGCAACGAUGGGUAGGGGGACUGAGAGGUUGACCCCCCACACUGGUACUGAGACACGGACCAGACUCCUACGGGAGGCAGCAGUGAGGAAUAUUGGUCAAUGGGCGAGAGCCUGAACCAGCCAAGUCGCGUGAAGGAAGACGGUUCUAUGGAUUGUAAACUUCUUUUGUAGAGGAAUAAUGGCGGUUACGCGUAACCGAAAUGCAAGUACUCUACGAAUAAGCAUCGGCUAACUCCGUGCCAGCAGCCGCGGUAAUACCGAAGAUGCGAGCGUUAUCCGGACUUAUUGGGUUUAAAGGGUGCGUAAGUGGCUUGUUAAGUCAGUGGUGAAAAGCUGCAGCUCAACU
rnacentral:rRNA from 1 species